AACGAACGCUGGCGGCAUGCCUAACACAUGCAAGUCGAACGAGACCUUCGGGUCUAGUGGCGCACGGGUGCGUAACGCGUGGGAAUCUGCCCUUGGGUUCGGAAUAACUCUCCGAAAGGAGUGCUAAUACCGGAUAAUGUCGCAAGACCAAAGAUUUAUUGCCCAAGGAUGAGCCCGCGUAGGAUUAGCUAGUUGGUGAGGUAAAGGCUCACCAAGGCGACGAUCCUUAGCUGGUCUGAGAGGAUGAUCAGCCACACUGGGACUGAGACACGGCCCAGACUCCUACGGGAGGCAGCAGUGGGGAAUAUUGGACAAUGGGCGAAAGCCUGAUCCAGCAAUGCCGCGUGAGUGAUGAAGGCCUUAGGGUUGUAAAGCUCUUUUACCCGGGAUGAUAAUGACAGUACCGGGAGAAUAAGCUCCGGCUAACUCCGUGCCAGCCGCCGCGGUAA
rnacentral:rRNA from 1 species